rnacentral:rRNA from 1 species
UUACCGAGUUUACAACUCCCAAACCCAAUGUGAACGUUACCAAACUGUUGCCUCGGCGGGAUCUCUGCCCCGGGUGCGUCGCAGCCCCGGACCAAGGCGCCCGCCGGAGGACCAACCUAAAACUCUUAUUGUAUACCCCCUCGCGGGUUUUUUUAUAAUCUGAGCCUUCUCGGCGCCUCUCGUAGGCGUUUCGAAAAUGAAUCAAAACUUUCAACAACGGAUCUCUUGGUUCUGGCAUCGAUGAAGAACGCAGCGAAAUGCGAUAAGUAAUGUGAAUUGCAGAAUUCAGUGAAUCAUCGAAUCUUUGAACGCACAUUGCGCCCGCCAGUAUUCUGGCGGGCAUGCCUGUCCGAGCGUCAUUUCAACCCUCGAACCCCUCCGGGGGGUCGGCGUUGGGGAUCGGCCCUCCCUUAGCGGGUGGCCGUCUCCGAAAUACAGUGGCGGUCUCGCCGCAGCCUCUCCUGCGCAGUAGUUUGCACACUCGCAUCGGGAGCGCGGCGCGUCCACAGCCGUUAAACACCCAACUUCUGAAAUGUUGACCUCGGAUCAGGUAGGAAUACCCGCUGAACUUAAGCAUAUCAAUAAGCGGAGGAAAAGAAACCAACAGGGAUUGCCCCAGUAACGGCGAGUGAAGCGGCAACAGCUCAAAUUUGAAAUCUGGCCCCUAGGGUCCGAGUUGUAAUUUGUAGAGGAUGCUUUUGGUGAGGUGCCGCCCGAGUUCCCUGGAACGGGACGCCACAGAGGGUGAGAGCCCCGUCUGGCUGGCCGCCGAGCCUCUGUAAAGCUCCUUCGACGAGUCGAGUAGUUUGGGAAUGCUGCUCAAAAUGGGAGGUAUAUGUCUUCUAAAGCUAAAUAUUGGCCAGAGACCGAUAGCGCACAAGUAGAGUGAUCGAAAGAUGAAAAGCACCUUGAAAAGAGGGUUAAAUAGUACGUGAAAUUGUUGAAAGGGAAGCGCUUGUGACCAGACUUGGGCGCGGCGGAUCAUCCGGGGUUCUCUCCGGUGCACUUCGCCGCGUCUAGGCCAGCAUCAGUUCGUCGCGGGGGAAAAAGGCUUCGGGAACGUGGCUCCUCCGGGAGUGUUAUAGCCCGUUGCAUAAUACCCUGCGGUGGACUGAGGACCGCG